AUUGAACGCUGGCGGCAGGCCUAACACAUGCAAGUCGAGCGGAUGAAGGGAGCUUGCUCCUGGAUUCAGCGGCGGACGGGUGAGUAAUGCCUAGGAAUCUGCCUGGUAGUGGGGGAUAACGUCCGGAAACGGGCGCUAAUACCGCAUACGUCCUGAGGGAGAAAGUGGGGGAUCUUCGGACCUCACGCUAUCAGAUGAGCCUAGGUCGGAUUAGCUAGUUGGUGGGGUAAAGGCCUACCAAGGCGACGAUCCGUAACUGGUCUGAGAGGAUGAUCAGUCACACUGGAACUGAGACACGGUCCAGACCCCUACGGGAGGCAGCAGGGGGGAAUAUUGGAAAAUGGGCGAAAGCCUGAUCCAGCCAUGCCGCGUGUGUGAAGAAGGUCUUCGGAUUGUAAAGCACUUUAAGUUGGGAGGAAGGGCAGUAAGUUAAUACCUUGCUUUUUUGACGUUACCAAAAAAAAAAGCACCGGCUAACUUCGU
rnacentral:rRNA from 1 species